rnacentral:rRNA from 1 species
GACGUAGGGGACGAGCGUUGUCCGGAUUCAUUGGGCGUAAAGAGCUCGUAGGCGGUUUCGUAAGUCGGAUGUGAAAACUCAGGGCUCAACCCGGAGACGCCAUCCGAUACUGCGAUGACUUGAGUCUGGUAGGGGAACACGGAAUUCCGGGUGUAGCGGUGGAAUGCGUAGAGAUCCGGAAGAACACCGGUGGCGAAGGCGGCCUGCUGGGCAGUUGCUGACACUGAGAGACGAAAGCUAGGGGAGCAAAUGGG